rnacentral:rRNA from 1 species
AUAAGGAGCUUGCUCCUUUGACGUUAGCGGCGGACGGGUGAGUAACACGUGGGUAACCUACCUAUAAGACUGGGACGACUUCGGGAAACCGGAGCUAAUACCGGAUAAUAUGUUGAACCGCAUGGUUCAAUAGUGAAAGAUGGUUUUGCUAUCACUUAUAGAUGGACCCGCGCCGUAUUAGCUAGUUGGUGAGGUAACGGCUCACCAAGGCAACGAUACGUAGCCGACCUGAGAGGGUGAUCGGCCACACUGGAACUGAGACACGGUCCAGACUCCUACGGGAGGCAGCAGUAGGGAAUCUUCCGCAAUGGGCGAAAGCCUGACGGAGCAACGCCGCGUGAGUGAUGAAGGUCUUAGGAUCGUAAAACUCUGUUAUUAGGGAAGAACAAACGUGUAAGUAACUGUGCACGUCUUGACGGUACCUAAUCAGAAAGCCACGGCUAACUACGUGCCAGCAGCCGCGGUAAUACGUAGGUGGCAAGCGUUAUCCGGAAUUAUUGGGCGUAAAGCGCGCGUAGGCGGUUUUUUAAGUCUGAUGUGAAAGCCCACGGCUCAACCGUGGAGGGUCAUUGGAAGCUGGAAAACUUGAGUGCAGAAGAGGAAAGUGGAAUUCCAUGUGUAGCGGUGAAAUGCGCAGAGAUAUGGAGGAACACCAGUGGCGAAGGCGACUUUCUGGUCUGUAACUGACGCUGAUGUGCGAAAGCGUGGGGAUCAAACAGGAUUA